GGUAUAUUGGCUGCUUUAAAGAUGGACGUCCUCCUGCAAUAGAGAAUCGUUACUGGAGAGAAGAUAAAAUGACUAUAGAAAAAUGUCAGAAUCACUGUCGAGAAAGACGCACAAAAUAUGCUGGUCUGCAGCAUGGUCAACUAUGUUACUGUGGCAACACUUAUGAGAUAUAUGGUCCUUUAGGCAGAGAUCAUUGUAACAUAGAAUGUGCUGGAGAUCCUACGGAAUUCUGUGGAGGGUACCUUGCUAAUUCAGUUUUUAGUACACAUUUUAAUGAGAAAUAAGAACAAGUAUCAAUAAUUGAGCCAGUAAAUCCUACGAAGAGUGAACUUGGUGUAGUAUUCUAAACAUCAGGUAUAAAAUAAGAAAAUCACCCAAACUAUGGUAGUUGAAUAACAGUUGCCAUUAUUCAAACAAAUGCUACUUAAUUCAGUUCGAAACAUCUCAUCAAGGCUUUAUCUAUGAAUUAAAUCAAUUACACUGGCGCUGCUCCGGCAUAGACACAGCCUUUAGGCUGGAACAUAUGAAAGAAAUAAAAAAUAUAUAUUGAAGUUCA
rnacentral:misc_RNA from 1 species